rnacentral:rRNA from 1 species
UGAGGGGAAGGCGCCCCUAGUACGAGAGGAACGGGGUAUCGUAGCCUCUAGUUUACCGGUUGUCCGACAGGGCACUGCCGGGCCGCCACGCUAUCGAGGAUAAGGGCUGAAAGCAUCUAAGCCUGAAACCUCUCCCGAAAAUAGGCA